CAUAUAAAAGGCCUAUAUAUUCAUUUUCAAAUUUUAAAGAAAUAAACCACACAUAAAAUGAAGCAUAUGAAUUAAGAUUCAUCAUUCAAACAAAUGACAAAAAUAAAGAAACAUUUUACUCAUGUUCAUUAAAUCGUUAAUAAUCAACUUCAGUCCACAAACGAGGAGGAAGGUUGUGGUGAUUUUCGUUAGGGUUGGAUGCAGAGGCUGGAGAAGUACAAGGCAUUACUAGAUGUAUAGAGGAGGAGGCAAGAUAUGCUUCACACCGUGCAUUUCAUGCCGCUUUCGGGCGAAUUACUGGAUCAGGUGUCCAAGAAAUAGAUUGAGACCGGCCUUAGAGUUGGAGAUCUUUAUGUGGUAGAAAACUUACAUCUCCCUUUAUCCACCUUUCUAGUUGCACUUUCCUCAUUUUAGUUAGAUUUUCAGUCGAGUCAGUUUUAUUUAUGGAAUUCUCACCUAGGUCAUUU